AAGGAGCAUCUAGAUUCCGCAAGGAAUCCAGAGCCAUUACGUCGGCAAAUGUUCGACGGUGGUCAGCUCAUGGGUGGAACGUUGACUAUUCGGCACGAUGGUUUGUUGGUCGCUAGUACUGCUUCGGCGUGGAACGUGGUGAACAGGGCAUUGUGUCGGGCACGUUGUUGGGUGUCUGAGGGUACGGCCGAUGAGGCUGCCUUCUGAUCCGGCCCCAGUGAACUCAUCCGGUUUCGGGUGGGGUGGUGGGUGGCUGGUCGUUG
rnacentral:misc_RNA from 1 species